AUCAAACACUUUUUGAGGAUGAAAGCAACAACAGACUGAUGGAAACUAAGGAGCUUUUUGAAUGGAUCCUGAAGCAACCAUGUUUUGAGAAAACGUCCUUCAUGUUAUUUUUAAACAAGUUUGACAUAUUUGAGAAGAAGAUCCUGAAUGUUCCGCUCAACGUAUGUGAAUCAGAUUUUGGGUAUACUAGAGGCCAGGUAUACAACAGUAUAUAAUCAAUUUAUUGAUUUGUAUCAAGUAAAUGAUGUUGAAUGGGUGGAUAGAGAAAGACCUUUACGAGUUCAUGAUCACCGCAAAUUAGUUGCGCUGAAAUUUUCAGAGAUGAUAUAAUCUAUGAUGCAC